CAUUACCGAGUUUACAACUCCCAAACCCCUGUGAACAUACCACUUGUUGCCUCGGCGGAUCAGCCCGCUCCCGGUAAAACGGGACGGCCCGCCAGAGGACCCCUAAACUCUGUUUCUAUAUGUAACUUCUGAGUAAAACCAUAAAUAAAUCAAAACUUUCAACAACGGAUCUCUUGGUUCUGGCAUCGAUGAAGAACGCAGCAAAAUGCGAUAAGUAAUGUGAAUUGCAGAAUUCAGUGAAUCAUCGAAUCUUUGAACGCACAUUGCGCCCGCCAGUAUUCUGGCGGGCAUGCCUGUUCGAGCGUCAUUUCAACCCUCAAGCACAGCUUGGUGUUGGGACUCGCGUUAAUUCGCGUUCCCCAAAUUGAUUGGCGGUCACGUCGAGCUUCCAUAGCGUAGUAGUAAAACCCUCGUUACUGGUAAUCGUCGCGGCCACGCCGUUAAACCCCAACUUCUGAAUGUUGACCUCGGAUCAGGUAGGAAUACCCGCUGAACUUAAGCAUAUCAAUAA
rnacentral:rRNA from 1 species